rnacentral:rRNA from 1 species
UAUUAAAGUUGUUGCAGUUAAAAAGCUCGUAGUUGGAUUUCGGAAGGUCCUUAGCAGUCCGCCCCUUCGGGGAGCGGGCUGCUGGCCUCCUAUGUUCCUAACGGUCCUCAUCCGCGAGGGUGGGGAAUCAACCGCUAGGAUCGUUUACUUUGAGGAAAUUAGAGUGUUCAAAGCAGGCGUAACUCGCCUCCGAAUACGUUAGCAUGGGAUAAUGGAAUACGACUUCGGUCUUGUUUCGUUGGUUUCGCUUGGCUGAAGUAAUGAUUGAUAGGGACAGUUGGGGGCAUUAGUAUUUAGUUGUCAGAGGUGAAAUUCUAGGAUUUACUAAAGACUGACCAAUGCGAAAGCAUUUGCCAAGGAUGUUUUCAUUAAUCAAGAACGAAAGUAGGGGGAUCGAAGACGAUCAGAUACCGUCGUAGUCUCUACCGUAAACUAUGCCGACCAGGGAUCCGGAGAGUUUGCAUGGAUGACUCCCCGGGCACCUUGUGAGAAAUCAUAAGUGUUUGGGUUUUGGGGGGAGUAUGGUCGCAAGGCUGAAACUUAAAGGAAUUGACGGAAGGGCACCACCAGGAGUGGAACCU